rnacentral:lncRNA from 1 species
CAAAUUAUAAGAUGAGUAAGUUCUGAUAAUGUAAUGUGUAGCAUGGUGACUAGAUUAACAUGUUUCAAGUAUAUAACACAAUGUUGCCAAGAAAGUAAAUCUUUUCUUUAAAGCUUUUAUUUCAGAGAGAAUUGAGGGAGAAGGGAAUGUAGACUCUGCAUUGAGCACAGAGCCGGAUGUGAGGCUUGAUCCCAUGACCAGAGCCAAAAUCAAGAGCCAGAUGCUCAACUGACUGAGCCAUCACAAGAAGGAUUAACUGACCACAUAGUUGUGAGUUCAAAGCUUUUGCACCAUGAAGAUAACAAUCAACAAAACUAUAAGGCAACAUAUGGGAGGAGAUAUUUGCAAAUGACAUACCCAACAAAAGUAGGAACUGCUUGGAUGGAGUCUGAGUUAGUUUAUCCAGUUUUAGGAUCAGAAGUUCUCUGCUCAGGGAGGUAAUGAAGGAUGGCAAAACAACAAAAAACAAGAACUGAAUUGGAAAUCAGCAGACACAAAAAUAUAUCAUGAAGAGUGAGAAAGAGACCCGUAUACAGAUCCUUAACAUUUUGUAAGAAU